rnacentral:rRNA from 1 species
GACGAACGCUGGCGGCGUGCUUAACACAUGCAAGUCGAACGGAAAUUCUCUGCCUGUGUGUUGCUCUCGAGUGACGAACUGGUGAGUAACCGGUGAGUAACCUCGCCUUUACUCUGGGAUACCUUCAGGAAACUGGGGCUAAUACCGGAUAGAAUCUCCUGCUGCAUGGUGGGCGUUGGAAAGGUUCGGCGGUUGGGGCUGGACGUGCGGUUUAGCAGCUUGUUGGUGGGGUAGUGGAUUACCAAGGCGUUGCGGGUUAGCCGGCCUGAGAGGGUGACCGGCCACAUUGGGACUGAGAUAGGACCAAUACUCCUACGGGGGGCAGCAGUGGGAAUCAGUCCACAAUGCGCGGAAGCAGUGUGCAGGAUCGUCGCGUGCGGGAUCACGGCCUUCGGGUUAUAACCCGCUUUCGCCUGGGACGAAGCGUGAGUGACGGUAAUGGGUAAAGAAGCACCGGCUAACUACGUG